AGAGUUUGAUCCUGGCUCAGAACGAACGCUGGCGGCGCGCCUAAUACAUGCAAGUCGAGCGAGAAGGUGUAGCAAUACACUUGUAAAGCGGCGAACGGGUGAGGAAUACAUGGGUAAUCUACCAUCGAGUGGGGAAUAACCAACCGAAAGGUUGGCUAAUACCGCGUACGCUUCUGAGCCUUCGGGUUCGGAAGGAAAGCCGUACUGUGAGUGCGGCGCUCUUUGAUGAGCUCAUGUCCUAUCAGCUUGUUGGUAGGGUAACGGCCUACCAAGGCUUUGACGGGUAGCUGGUCUGAGAGGACGAUCAGCCACACUGGCACUGCGACACGGGCCAGACUCCUACGGGAGGCAGCAGUAAGGAAUAUUGCGCAAUGGGCGAAAGCCUGACGCAGCGACGCCGCGUGGGGGAUGAAGGUCUUCGGAUUGUAAACCCCUUUCGGGAGGGAAGAUGGAGCGAGCAAUCGUUCGGACGGUACCUCCAGAAGCAGCCACGGCCAACUUCGUGCCAGCAGCCGCGGUAAUACGAAGGUGGCAAGCGUUGUUCGGAUUCACUGGGCGUACAGGGUGUGUAGGCGGUUUGGUAAGCCUUCUGUUAAAGCUUCGGGCCCAACCCGGAAAGCGCAGAGGGUACUGCCAGGCUAGAGGGUGGGAGAGGAGCGCGGAAUUCCCGGUGUAGCGGUGAAAUGCGUAGAGAUCGGGAGGAAGGCCGGUGGCGAAGGCGGCGCUCUGGAACAUACCUGACGCUGAGACACGAAAGCGUGGGGAGCAAACAGGAUUAGAUACCCUGGUAGUCCACGCCCUAAACUAUGGAUACUAAGUGUCGGCGGGUUACCGCCGGUGCCGCAGCUAACGCAUUAAGUAUCCCGCCUGGGAAGUACGGCCGCAAGGUUGAAACUCAAAUGAAUUGACGG
rnacentral:rRNA from 1 species